rnacentral:rRNA from 1 species
UACAGAGGGGGCAAGCGUUAUUCGGAAUUAUUGGGCGUAAAGGGCGCGUAGGCGGCAUCGCAAGUGGAAGGUGAAAUCCCUCGGCUUAACCGAGGAACUGCCCUCCAAACUGCUUCGCUUGAGACCGGGAGAGGUGAGUGGAAUUCCCAGUGUAGCGGUGAAAUGCGUAGAUAUUGGGAGGAACACCAGUGGCGAAGGCGGCUCACUGGACCGGUACUGACGCUGAUGCGCGAAAGCGUGGGGAGCAAACGGG